UCGGAAUUACUGGGCGUAAAGCGUGCGCAGGCGGUUGUGCAAGACCGAUGUGAAAUCCCCGAGCUUAACUUGGGAAUUGCAUUGGUGACUGCACGGCUAGAGUGUGUCAGAGGGGGGUAGAAUUCCACGUGUAGCAGUGAAAUGCGUAGAGAUGUGGAGGAAUACCGAUGGCGAAGGCAGCCCCCUGGGAUAACACUGACGCUCAUGCACGAAAGCGUGGGGAGCAAACAGGAUUAGAUACCCUGGUAGUCCACGCCCUAAACGAUGUCAACUAGUUGUUGGGGAUUCAUUUCCUUAGUAACGUAGCUAACGCGUGAAGUUGACCGCCUGGGGAGUACGGUCGCAAGAUUAAAACUCAGAGGAAUUGACGGGGACCCGCACAAGCGGUGGAUGAUGUGGAUUAAUUCGAUGCAACGCGAAAAACCUUACCUACCCUUGACAUGCCACUAACGAAGCAG
rnacentral:rRNA from 1 species